AAUAGAUACCCUGGUAGUCCACGCCGUAAACGAUGGAUGCUAGCUGUUAUGCGUAUCGACCCGUGUAGUAGCGAAGCUAACGCGUUAAGCAUCCCGCCUGGGGAGUACGAACGCAAGUUUAAAACUCAAAGGAAUUGACGGGGACCCGCACAAGCGGUGGAGCGUGUUCUUUAAUUCGAGGCUAAGCGAAGAACCUUACCAGGGCUUGACAUCCUUGGAAUUUCUCCGAAAGGAGAGAGUACUUUAUUGGACCAAGUGACAGGUGCUGCAUGGCCGUCGUCAGCUCGUGUCGUGAGAUGUUUGGUUAAGUCCAUUAACGAGCGCAACCCUUAUGAAUAGUUGUAUUUUUCUAUUCAGACUGCCCCGGUAACGGGGAGGAAGGGGGGAUGAUGUCAGGUCAGUAUUGCCCUUACGCCCUGGGCUAGAAACGCGCUACAAUGGCCGGUACAAUGCGCUGCCAACCCGCGAGGGGAGCAAAUCGCAUCAAAGCCGGUCCCAGUUCGGAUAAGAGGCUGAAACUCGCCUCUUUGAAGCCGGAAUCGCUAGU
rnacentral:rRNA from 1 species